UUAUUUUUUCUUGUUUCCCUUUUAAUUUUUCCUGGUAACCAAGCAGGGGUAAAGGAGCUAGUUCGGCCAGAAAACUAAAAAACAGGGAAGCUAGAAAAUCGAGUAAAAUGAACGAAAACUCGUUUUGAUGAAGAAUUAGCGAUGGAUCAUAGAUCUGUUGAACCAAUUCGGCUAGGAAACAAGAAGGUGACAAGUGACAACUCUACUUGGGGUGUUGAAAACUAAAUUCGAAGGCAGAUUCAUGCAAAUAUACACUCUCUUUUGUCAGUCUUUAUCAACUAGAAAGAAUAAUGCAUAUGCUCUACAUGCUUUGGCAUUGCCAUUAAUGACCAUUGAUAUUUUAUGGAACACUUGUAUGUUUUAUGCCAUUACUGUUAGAAAAGGGUUAAGGGGUUUUUGUAAGGAAUUAGGCACUUGUUCUUUGUAACCUCAUUGCCUUUUUUUUAUCAAAUGCAGUCUAGGUAUGUGUGUAGAGUCCAAUUCAACUAUUCUUUCAAUCCUUAAAAUGUUUUUAUAAUGUUAAUCUUUCACAGGCUCUUUGGUUUCAUCGUUGUUUCCUUUCCCUUCAUUUGAUGCGGCUUUUGAUAACUUUUGAUGGUAUUUGGUGCCAUUCUGAGCAGAAAACCAGCUAGGGUAAUGAAAUCAAUAUCUUUUUGGACAAUGAAUUAUGUCUCCUGGAUUCUUGAUCAACCAUUCAAGACAUGGAGUUUGAGGGUUUCGUAGAACAAGCAAUGUCUUCAGCAGCUUGCUUUUUAUGGUUGAUGAAGGUAAUUGUAACAAAAUUGCUUAAAUUAUAUGGAGAUUGAACUGUAAGUGAAGCUGAAAUUUGGAAAUUUGAAGACCAUAUAUCACAUAAGACAUCUUCAGAAAGAUCUUUCCUUUGGGAUUUUAUAGACCUCAGAAGCUUUUAAUGAACAUCUACAUCCGAAUUAGUUCAUCUUUGUUAAAUAUUAACUAUUUCAUAACGUAUCUCCAUGACUAUUUUAUGUGGCUUUCGUUAAAUUAUAUCCUCAAAUUGGAUUGAGGUACUGAAAAAUAGUCUCUAAUUGCACUUUUUCUAAUGUUUGGGGAGUAUUUUAUUGACAAGAAGGUGACAAAUAAUGUUAUGGUGAUUGUAACUUCCAAGGAUGCAUCGUCAUGUUUUCAAGCUUUGUGGAGAUCAGGAUACCCUGAGGAUAAGUUUCAAAUACAGACAUUGGAAUGAAGAGUUUGAGUACCAUAGGAAGCAACCGCUGGCAAAACUGGAGUUUGCUGAUUAGGUAUGGAAGCUUUCAGCUUUCUAUCAACAUAUGUGUUGUUUUUGGGUCUACUUAUGCUCCCACUCUCUAUACCUUUAGCACACAUGAAAUUUAGUCACUUUACUUUUAAUACCAAGAAUCCAGUUAUUCAACUCUUUUGAUUUAAUAAUUGUAGUGGCCAAUAUUACAUGUGUGAAAGGCUGGAUAAACAAAUAAAAACAUUAAAUUUGGGGUUGUGAACAAUUUUUUUGUUGUAAGGCUUUUAGCAUUGUUUUAGAGAAGCAUGAUGCAAGUCAAUAUUUUUGUUGCGAACAAUUUUUUUUGUCACAUAAUCCAAUUUAACAGAAUGUAUUAUUGACUAGACUUCAGUUAUUAGUUAUAAUGAGAAGGACUAGAUUUUAAAUAUAUGAAGAGUACAAAGAUUGGGAGCAUAAUUAGACCUUAUUUUUUUCCGGGUCCAGAACAUAUGAGUUGGGAGUUUAUAGUCCCAUUCCUUUUAAAUAGAAACGUUAUCUUCCCAUUCCUUUUAAUGGCCUACCAAAUUGAAGCCAUGGAAUAUUAGCCAGUUCUUUAGAAAUAAUAUGAUUGCUUUCGUUGUCGAGUGGAGCCACUCCUCUCAUUCACCAUUCCUCACUGUAAUAUAAUGCAGUAAAUGUAAAGGCAUGUAGUAACCAAUGUUGUCGAGUGGGCUUCUCUUUGCUUGAGAUUAGCACAAGUAAUCGAUGUUGGAAGUUUUUUAUCAAUGAAAACUGACAUUCUUGUUUCA